AUAGCGGUGGUCCCGGAGUUACCGCGCGGCAAAAACCCGGGGCUGAGCGCGGUGCCCGCCCCGCGGCCCGGCGGUUUCCCCGGGGCGGUCCUUUCGGUCCCGCGGGGUCCCUUCGGGCCGGGCCGUGCCCCUCCGCGGGCGCUGGCGGCGGGCAUGGGGAGCGUUUUGUUAUCAGCUUAAUUGCUCGGGUUUAGUUCCCUGCCAUCCUGUGCCAGGGGCAAAGUACACUGAAGCCACAAUAGGCAGAUAAUAUUAAUUUGACUAAAUCUUAACGAUGCUAGUGGACUUGUCAGAUGCCAGAGCUUUGUCAAAUUAUGUUUUGAAAAAAAUUAAGUCUUCAGAAUACAACAUUUUUGAGAAAAUACAGUAAGAGGAUCUUAUGCCUUAUGAGGUCAAUGCCUUGCAGUCACGGUCUGGCCAACUUUCUGACCUCACAUUUUUGCAGAGGAUACCAACUUUUUGGUAGCUUCUUUCCUCUGUCCCUUUCCUCUUCACUCAUCUCUCUUCACAAGAGCAUCCUAGAAAAAACAAGUGGAUAAUACUGUAUGUGUCUUACUUAUUUCUUUUUUUCAACCGCUUUCUUUUUUUGAUUUUAGAGCUGAAACUGGAAAUUCAUGCACUUUCUUCACUCCAAACAUAUCCAUCUAUGAAAGCACUCUGUUUCUUCCAGCCCAAACUUCCCAGUCCCUUUCAGUGCUCUUUUCAGCCUGAGCCUCUUCCUAUCCACUAAUUUCUUUCUCUGUCAACACAAGUGGGCUGUGAUCACUCGAUACAACAUAAAUUGCUGCUCUGCUUUCAUUCUUCUCUACACUUGCAUUAUCUUUGUUAUAGUCACUGUUCAUGGCUCCUCUUCUUCUAAUUUUUAAUUUAAUUGCUUCCAGUCUUUUAUUUAUUCACUUUGAGAUUGAACAAAGAUCUUUUAUUUUCCACUGGCCUCGAGAUCACAAUGCUUUCUUGAAUCUCUUGUGCUACCUAGUUAGCAGAUACCCAUAGGUACACUGUCUCAUGUGCUACCUCCAAAUCUACUGGGCAUUACAUGAAGAAGGAAGAACCUCCCAUGAUGGGCUUUAUCUCCCAGUUCUCUUCUGAGGCCAUGGGAAUUGCAUAGCACUAGUGAGAUACUGUGGUUACUCUUAGCUCCCUAAUUUGGAACUAGAGAGUAAGGUAAAUCAUGGUGAUAGGCAGAAGUUGCAUCUUCUGUAUAUUAGCAGUGAAAUCAACUGCCUGUUGUUAGAAAUCCUCUCCAAUGGGGGAGACACCUAUUUAACAGCAGAUUUCAGAUGUUCUGUGCACAGAGAAUUGCAGAACACAUGGAGAAAGUCCUUAUAUGUCACUGGGGCCUUCUAGGCUGUUAACUAAAAAAUUCUAAAAAUUACCCACAACUUUUUCACAUCAGUUCUCAUCUGAUGUUAUGUCUCUUUGCUUAAUACACUAUCUCAGUGCUUAAUGCACGAUUUCUGUUUCAUAAUUUGGACAUAGUAGAGAUGUUGCCUCAUAUUGAUUGUAAAACAAGAAAAAGUAUACAACUGUGAUUCAGAAGCCUUAGCACCUCCUUUGUAGUGUAUUAUUUUUGUUGGACUUUUUAUUAUUUUUCUUUUUGAACGUGUAUUUUGUCAUGUUUAACAACAGGUUUGGUCUUGCAAAGGAUGACUGUGCUUAAUGUCAUGUGGACAAUUAAAAAAGGUUUAGUUCCUAUGGAGAUCACAUUCAUGCAUAUAGUACUCUCAUCUCUUCUUGUUUUGUCUUUAGGCUACUGCUAAACCAAAGAAGACAUCUUCCUGGAAUAAAUUCUCUCAAACCACUAGCAAUCACUUUUCUCCUCACACUCAAUUCUAGCAUUUUUGCCCUUAUAGAUAUGAACUGUAGCACCAAUCAAUGAUGAGAUUUUUAAGAGAAAUAUAUUUGUGCGUGUGGUGAACUGUGCCUUUCCCCAUCCCCAGCAUGUGUGAGGUCCAGUAUCCAGUAUACCUUGCAGCUAUCAUCCUCUGGAACUUCCAGAACUCUCACUUGUCAGCAGUCACACCUGUUGCCCUAGCUCCAAAAUAAGCUCUAUCAUUUUGUUCCCCACAAUUCCACAUUCUGCCCCAUUUCUGCAUCUCCUGCCCUGAACAGUUCCCUCCUAAGCUCUGUCUCCUAGCCCCUCACUCAUUUCAUAGCUUCAGGACUAUUUGGAAAAGGGGACUUUUAAUAAACAGUCAGAAAUUCCUGAGUGAGCUGGAGCUUCACAGGGUCACUAUGAGACCAACAAAAAUCUUGUCAUUUGGGAGGAAUUUAUAAGAACUAUAAACACUGCUUGUUAUCUUAGGGUCAUCUCUGACUCAUUUCUAGCUUUUACCCUACUCUUUCUGUCCGUGGCCAAAAUUUUACUUCCAUCAGCUUAAUUCUGUGUGCUGACUUGUUCUAGCUGUUUGCAGUGCAAAUAGCACUGAAGAAAUCUAGUCUGAAUAUCUGUGAUUUCUGUUCUCCUUCCCUGGAGACAUGGAAAGAAGAUUGGGAUUUAAAAUUGUGAUUUAUGCAUCUCAGGUUUUAUGGAUAUACAGAACUGUAGCUGAUUUAGCUGUUAUUUUCUCUGUUCUGCUAAAAAGACAACUCAGAUGAGUCUCGUCCUACUCAUUUCAGGGAAGUAAUCAUCUGUGGAAGUUGAAUGAGAGUUAGUGAAUUGCCUGUAUGUGGAUUCUUUGGUGACUGGAAGGGUCAUACAAACAUAUCACUGCGAGAAACAAGGAUUGUUGGAGGAGAUUCUACCCCACUUUUUAAAAAUUAUCAGAAGUAAUUAUACAGAGAACAAAGAAAGUCAGUGUUUGGGCUAAUAUUACAAAAGCCUCAUUUGCAGGUACUAAUUGAACUGUAUACAGUUUUAAUGAGAAAAUGGGAUUGACAACAAACUUCCCCCUCCCCCACCCUGCUAUUUAUAUUUUUGUCAAUAUAAGAUAGGAGUACCACAUUCUUUUUCUUUUCUCCCAUCCAGACACCUGCCGCCCCACUCCCACUACCAUUGAAGGUACUUCUGAUGUGUUAGUGUUUAAAAUCGCACCCAAUUUCUAUUGAAUAUUUAACUUGGGGAGCUUUUCCAGAAGCUGAAGGGCCAUAUAAAUGAUGAAAAAUAUGAAAUAUAAUUAUUUGGGAAAGGAGAAUAUAAUCCUCAAAUAGAUGUUCCUGCUGAUAAGUCUUGGUUAAUAAUGGUGUUUUAAUUAUUUUAAAUUCAUUGACUUGCACUAAUCCAGUGUAAUCUAUAAUCUUAAUUGUUCCAACAGAGAUGCCAAAAAUUAUUGAGUAGAUGAAAAACACAUUUAAAUACUGUGUUCAAGAUUUUUCAACUUGGAAAAAGUUUGGGAAAUUAGUAAGAAUUGUCUUUAAGGCAGGAUCAUGAUUCUGCUCAGACCCUAUGGUAUAUAACCCAAAAAAGCAUAUUGCACCUCUUAGUACAGGGAUAAAGGAACAAUAUUAUUAUAACUUAAGUAUAAAAGUCAGUCCAUUGCUUAGUAUUCUCAGUUUUUUUCUUGUAUGCAGUAACAAGUGGAAGAGAAAAAAUUUAUACAGAAACUGCCUCUUUGUUCAAGAUAACUUUUUUAAUCUGAAACCAAGAGGUUCUGAAGAGCUAUAGAGAUAUAGCAAGCAACUUAAAUGAAAGUUGCCUGCCUAAAACAUUCAUCAAUCUUUUUUUUCCUACAAGCAUGGAAAGUAAAUUUUAUAUUACAGCUAAAAUAGUCUUCCAUUAUUAUGCCCAGGGACCUCUGUUUUUGUCCUGAAAAGUAAAGAGCCAUGCAUUUUCAUCCAGCAUAAUCCACUCCCAGUCAAGUACUGGAAGACAUAAAGCAAUCAGUGAUAAUAGGUCAUCUUUUCCCAAUGGCAAGUCAGGAUGACCAAGAGAACCUCCUAACCAAGACCCCAGCAGUGUAAUAAGACUGACAGCCACUGACAGCCACUCCUUCCUCCUCCCCUCCUUCCCUGUUGAUGGAGUAAGUUUUUGUUUGUUACAUGAAUAUACAAAGAGUUAGGUCUGAAACUACAAACCUAGUAAGAGAAAAAUACUGGGUUUGCAUAUAUUGUAUGAUGUUUCCUGCAGUCAAAACACCAGGAUCAGCAGAUACAUUAUGUCCCCAGGAUCCUUCCCUGCCACUGAGGCUCGCUGGCACAAAAGGAAUCAGUUCCAGACUAUUACAUUUUUUUAGCUGCCAAAUUAAGGUGAUUGCAUGCAAACUGCAAACUGCCUGUGCUAGCCCCUGAACUGCCCCUGGGAAUCAUGUGGGAACAUGCUAAAGCUGUCUAAAGGAUGAAUCUAACAAUUUAAACCUACCAGUUAUUGUUUUAACAUCCUGUAAGUUCCACAGCACUUGUUAAAUUUACUAAUACAGAUUUAGCCUUAGAAAACAUUUGUGAUGCUUUUGGCCAUAAAUGUUCCAAAUAGCCAACAAACACUAGGAUGCAGAAGCAGGAAAGUUUUGGUCACAACAAUAAAUCACCAUGACAAUCAGCAAAUGUGGGCAGCAUAUGAUCCAGCUGCACCACAAAUACAAUCUUAUUGCACUGAGACCUUCUGUUCUCUACACACAACAAAUAAAUGAAGAGCUGAUCAUUUACUUCUGCUUUAAAAACACUACUGCACUCUAUUCAUUAACAGGGCUUUGUUGCUAAAUUGGCUUAUAAUUUUAACAAAACCUGUGGUUUGAGAAGUACUGAAACAAGCUUACAAUUAUGAUGGCUGACUCAGUAGGCUGCAAAUUCUCUUUCUGCUCUCAUUAAGAGGAAAGGGUACAUACAAAGUAAGACUAAUGAGUAAAAAAAAUUAUCUAAAUUAGACAUGGCAAUGCUGUUUCCAUGCCAGAGUUUAAUUUCUGUGAAAAGAAGCUUGAGGUAAUUUUAAUAAAUAAAAUUAUUUUAGGUGUCAUGCGUUUUAAUUUAACCUUGUAAAACCUUACCAUGAAUAAGAUGAGCUACAAGUAUUGUAUCAAUAGCAAUUGCAUUAUUUCUCAUUCUAGGUGACUUCCUGUCAAAUCUAGUGGGUAUACAAAAAGAAGAAUAUAACAAAAACAGCAAAUAGAUAUGCAGAUAUCUAAAUGCCAAAGACCACCGCUAAAACUAAUAUGAGGUCUGUAUAAUUACACAGAGAUUUCCACAAGCAUAAUGUAUAAUUAUGUACAAGAGCAAGCAAACAAGAAAGCCCAAACACAGUGAUUUUAAUACCUGCUCAGAAAAUAGCCUACUUGAGAAUAAAAUUGUGGUCUUAGUUUUAUUCAAAUUAUUUUCAUUGAGAUGGUACAAAAUGCAGUAAUUUCUUGAGUCCGUAUCUCUCUAAAGCAUAGUGAGCUGAAUCUGUGUCAUCCCUAACAACUAAUUGCCCUACCCAUCAUUUACUGCCUUCUGUCACAAGGACUCUGCAGCCUCCCCAGCUAACAUGCUAGAGACUUUUUCUCAUUGAACAAUUCCAUUUUUAUAGGUUUUCUUAUUUAGACACCUAACAUACUUUCCCAUCCACAGUGACUACAAUUUUCUGUCAUUCCAGCAAAUUUUUUUAAUCUUAUCUCUGACUGAGCCACCUGAGGAAGUGAAGAGAGGAGACAAGACAAUGCUGUUAGGGCAGGAAAGUAGGGAAGUAACUGCCUUUGAAGAAUUAAAGCCAGCAUGGAUCCUGAGAGCUACACAUUACAUAGAACAAACAAUAACACUGGAGAAAGGGUAACAGGAGCAAGUAUGUUUUCAGUGGGAAAAACUUGAAUGCUUUCAUUCUGCAGAUAGUAGUUAUGGCUUGUUAUUUCUUCUUAGCAUUAAUGGAGAACAUGCAUGUACUGAAAACUGCCCACAACCAUUUGAUGUAUUGUUUGCUUUAUCCUUUCUAUUUUUUUCCACAUUUAUCCUGUUAAGUGUCCAACCAGACUGUGUUUACAUGUAUCACUAAGCAAGCCACAACUGUUGCUAGCUACAUAUCAUCUUUAUAGUCUCAUUAUCUCUGGUUCUCUGAAUUCUGUCUGGCUCACAGACUAACUUUUAGUAUUUAACACUUGCUUGUAAUGAGACUUCUCAAAGCCUUCUAAAUCAGUGUGCCCUGCAUGCAAGAUAAAUGUUUAGCUGCUCAGUUAUAGUUACCUGCAUGUUCAUUUUCCCAACUAGCUAUCUAUUAUCAGCUUCAGAGUAGGGCCUCAGGUGUUGUCUGAAAAGUAAGAUUUUAACAAUCUCAGCUAUGCAAAAGCUGUCUCUUAAAUAUUUUUUAUGUUAUACACAUGCAAAAGAACCACAGACCAAUAUCUGGUGUGUUCUUUUGCAGUUCAGAACGUCCUUUAAGUAUUUUUCGGUUUACAAUAAUAAAGAUACUGAAUAAUGAAGAUACUGAGUUAGAAAACUAUCUGUCCAGUGGGGGGGGGAAAAAAAAAAAAAGCUGUUCUACUUCUUCUAAGGAAUGCUGCCUCAUUUAUCAUUUUUAUUUUGGAUUUAUAUAUAUAUAUAUAUAUAUAUAUAUAUAUAAACAUUGUAAAUAAAUGACUGAUAAAAUACUGGAUUGGAUAAGAGGUAUUAUGGGCAUUCUUUUCAAUAAAAGGUCUUUUAAAAAGAAGUGCUUGUUGUUAGUGCUUGUCUUUAAUCUUCUAAAAACACUAGAUUAAACCAGCUUUGAAACCUACGCAUUACCAGUUUUUUGUGUCAGUUUUCUUAGCAAUUCUGAUAAUCUCAGCACAAUAGUGUCAGAACUGUUUCUUCAGUAUUUUGCACAAAUUUCUCCUGGCACUACAAUAGAUUGUAUCAGCAAGAUACUAGGAAGCUUUAGAAGUUCACCAUUUCCCCUGGAUAGUCAAUGGAUCUAUUACGUAAACUAUCUCCCAGAGAUUAAAAGUUGCUCAUUUCAGAGGUAUAAAAUACUUCUUGUUAUUUCUGAGGGGGUAUAUCAGAGCCAGUUCACAGCUUCUUUCAUCAGUAAGACUUACCAAAAGGGAUGUCCUAGAGGCAGCAAAACUCCAGUAAACAUUAUUUUUUCAUCCAGGAUCCAUUUUAUAGGAAUUCCCUGAAUCCACACUUGGUAAGUUUGAAUCUGGGCCCUUUCAUCUUACAAAGUUAAGCGUGAGGUUUCCCUGGUAAUGUGCAGCAUGAUAGAUUAUCCUUCAAAAGUAGUUAACAAUCCUUUCAAGGCACAUAUGACAAUAUUUUGAAGUAGAGUAGGAUUUGAAAAGAAACCAAACAACAAGCACAGAAAUUGGGUGAGCUGAUUUAAUCUAUGUUAAGAAAGACAAGAAGCUGCAUGUUGGUCUGUCUGAACCAUUCAGCUGGUCUUCAGGCUUACCUUAUGGUGGCUUGUGGUCUUCAUAAUGUCUCAAGGCCACUGUGAUAUGUUUUAAGUGAGUGUCCAAAGAUGAAAGAAUUUGUAAUUCCUGUAUUUGUUUCUACCUCAAGCCUAAAAGAAUCAGGAGCUGCAGCUGAAGGUUACUUCAGUUAUUAAAGUUAUCUUCUUGAAUGAAAUGCAACUGCUCUGUCAAAUUUUCUAUUUUCUGUUUUGCUUGCUUGUUUCAUGGUAAACAUUCCUACUAUACCUACUAAAAUAUAAGUAGUUAUAGUAAUAUGAAGUGAACUGAGUCUAUGUUGCAAUCAGUUUCCUAAUUCCAUCAGAUCAGGAUAUCUGGGCAUAGUGUUUUGCCUGCUAAAUAAUAAGACAACACUGUGUUGUUCUUGGUGCAUUUAUUCAUUCCUCAUCUGAUAGAAGUAAUUAAGCAUCUCUAUACAAUUUUAAGAUGUUUAAUAACAAAAAGUCUUGGGACAAUUUAUCAGAGUCACAGAAAUGUUUAAUCCCACUUCCAAAAGUGGGAUUCCUACAGUACAUUUCUAGAAAUGCAACCAGAAUAGAACAGGAAGAUAAAACUGAUGAAAAGCAAAGAGAAUAAGCACAACAAAUAAGGAAAUCCAGAUAUAACAAUAAGCCAAUAGUUAAGAGAGGUGGGUAUUGAAGAGAAAACUAACAAUGGAUAUGGAGCAACUUGAGAUCAAAAAGAAGGCAUUCAAAAAAAUCUGAAAAAAGAGAAAAAGAGAAAUUUGUUGAGUUUUGCUAGUAGCUCAUAGAGACAUGGAAGCUAUUAUCUUGUAACAUCUCGUUUAGAAAAGUCAUUGUAAGAGCUUGUGAUCAAUAUGUUGUUACAUUAGACAGAAAUUUCUUAGAGCUUUUAUGCCGGUAGUUAGAGUGGCAGAGACCCAUACAAGGAGUUCUACAAAUUUUACAGAGUGCGUAUGUCUGAGCAGCAGUGUCCCCAUAGAAUCUUCUUGUCUUUUGGCUCCAUAGAGCAUAUUGUGAGUUUACAAUAAUUCUUCCUCCAUGAAGCCCUCAGGGAAAGGCACAUGCAGGGAAAUGUCCACGUCCCCCAUUACACAAUCCUUCUGCAAUAAACUGAAAAAAGAAAGCCUUUCUAAAAAGAGACCUGAAAACAAAUUUACUUUGGGAUAUUAGUCUUCCUGUCAGAACCUCUCCCCAGUAACAAUUGUUUCAGCAAUCCAUGGGCCAGAAUGUUAUGACUAGAUAAUAUUUGUUAAAGAGGUAUUGCUACCUUUGUAUAUUAAUGUUAUUCCCAUAACAUUCUCAAUAAGUAGCAAAUAUAUAUUUUGUUUCAGAUCCAAAUUUGAACCAAAGUCGUGAAAACAUUUAUAAUAGACACAAUGAGGCAAGUAUCUUGAUCAGGGCAGAACCUGGUAGAUACUUAUGUGUUUUUUCCCCUUGUUUUCCUUCUUUUUGUAACUAUACAGAUGGAAGAAACACAGCUCAUUGGGUUUUUUUUUUGCCAUUAGUUUCAAAUUUUUCUAUUGUAGGCAGAGCAGAAUAAAGAAAACUGCCAUUUAAGGAUUUUAAGCCUAAAAUAGUACAGCUCCUAGUGAUUGGAAAUAUGGUUACCUUAAAAUCAUGGCUGCAGUUUACUUGAACUGCUUUUAUAAAAAUGAAAAUAACAAGAAUUUCAGAUAUAUUUGUGCCAUUUUACUCCUGUUAUGGUAAUUUAUGCUCUGACUUCGCUGAGUUUGUUCUUUUACACCUGUGUACAUUCUAUCCACAAGCAGCUAAACAGUUGAUUCCCUAACAUAAUUCAUGCAGGAUGAUGAAUGGCAUUAAAUGUGAAGAUGAUGCUCUAGAUUGUUUAGGCUUGUGGUGGCUGCAACCACCUCCUGUGAUCCUCUCCAAGCUUAUUACAGCUGCAUUAUAUCUAUAUACACAUACAUAUGUAUAUAUAUAUAUAUAUAUAUAUAUGUAUGCAUCAAACUAUCAUACAAUGAUUCAUAUGUGCCUAGUCAGAUAAAACAAUAAUUUCUUACACCAAGCUAUAUGCAAACCCAGAGCAGAAUUUUACAUAAAUUAAUAAACACUUAUGGUUUAAACUACAGUAUGUCAUGGGGGAAGGAAAGGAAAUAUUAUUAUAUCCUUUUUGCUGUUGAAUUAAUAUUAUUAAGAUUAGGCUUUUCAUGGAAAUUUUUGGUAUUCACAUGGUAUAAGAACAUCCAGUAUUGGUAAUAUUUGAUAUAUUCAUUUAUUUGAGGUUCUUUCACACUGAUAAUGUAUUUGCAUGUAUCCAAACAGCAGACAUAAUACAUGUUUUCUGAGAAACUUGAUAAGGAUGGCAUAACUUAAGCUUUAGACAUUACUCUGUAUUUUAAGUUACUGUGUUUAUUUUAUGAAAUAAAAAAAAUUACUUUGAGUAGCUAGUCAUUUCCAUCUAUAAAAAGCACAGAAAUCAGUUCUUUGCCUGAUAGUAUUUUGCAAUCCCUUCAAUCUAUUUAGCUUAACAGAUGCGUGGAUGCACACAGACAGAAACUACUCAAUCUUUUUCAAGCUGAUGCUCAAGAAAAUAAUCAGGACAGCAAGCUGGUGACACGAUGCCUUGUGUUCUUUGUAACUGAAACUAUUGCUGGGGUGAUUUUGGAAGAAAAAAGAGUAUUGUUUUUUAGAAAACUGUGGAUUUUGUGUUGGUUAUCUAAUAUCCAACCUAUAUCAUUCUCAGAAAUCACUCCAUUUCAAAAGUGACUGUCCUUCUCAACUCUGAGUGUCAUGCUGCUUCUGUUGGAAUUAAUGGUUCAUCCAAACUGCAGGUGCUGUUAGACCUUGAGCCUAGGUGCAGGCUGUGGCUGCAUUCUGUGGUGGAAUAAGGUGAGCUGCAAUUCAAUAGCAUUUUCUUUCUUCUUCUAUCUUUCUUUCUUUUACUCCAGUUUACAUUGGAAGACGAAACAUCACUAGGGAGGAAAGUCGAUGUGUGCUGUGCAUCAGGGUAGCUGACCUGCAGGAUCAAUUACAAACUGCUCAAGGCUAUUAAUUUAAAUGCAGUUCAGGAAGAGAUAUUGAUUAAUAAAAAUUCAAUAGAAAAUAAUCAGUGAAGGUUACUUUUGCAAUUUCAUAAUAUUUUUGUAAGGAGUGAUAGAAUUCAAAAUAAAUCUCCAAUGGUGCUCCUUGGUUUAAUGAGCAGCCACCUGUACUGCCAGAUGUACAGAUCCUCAGGCUUUUCUACCUUUCAAGUUAGUAUUCUGAAAUCUAGUCACUCCAACCAGCAGUCAGGUAGCAAACAUUCAGCGUGGCUCACUCAGGAAUUUCAGCUGGGAUUUGGACCCUACAGGACUUUCCUUGGGGGAACUUGUCACAGCAUGUUUGUGCUCACACAUGAUUUUAGAAACAAAGUAAUUUAUAUUACUUUUUGCAAGGUAAAAAGCCUUUGGGAAAAGUAAUAAAUAAAUAAAUCCUCUUUGUGAGCAAAUCCCUCCACUUAAAAGAAAACAAACAAAAAUUCAUCUUGUUUUGAACUGGUAUCAAUGGCACAAUUUUGAUGGCUUCCUCUUUCUUUUCAAGCUUCCAGCUAUUUGCAGGAUUUUUGAUAUUUGUGGUUUCCUCUGAAACCUCUUAUCCUUUAUCUAUGUUUUAUUCCUGCCAAGCAUCCUUAUCCUAAUCUACCCAAUAUUCAAACACUUUUAUCUAUAGCUCUGAAGAGGUAGAGAGAAUUUGUACCAGUAUCAUUAUUGUACCUUUCUAUCUCACUUUUUAAAGUCUUCGUUCAUUGAUUUCUUUUGUCUAAUGCAUUGCUGUUGAGCAGACAGGCAACAAUACAAAGCCAUUAGUCAUUGAAAAUAUCUCCCUCACCCUUCAUCAGAAUCCAUUUUGUUUCUUCUGCAGCUGUAUCUUACACAAAGACACAUUCAUGAAAUCACACACAACUUUGAUUAUUUUGAAGACAUGGAGAAAACAAGCAACAGUAGAAAAACAAGCAAAAAAUCCAGAAGUAUAACUAUCUUCUUUUAUUGCUUUCAUACUGAAAUGAAAUUAUAUUCUUCAAGAAAAUGCUCAGGAUGUCUAAACUGAAUACUUGGGAAGUGAUAUGAGAUGUAAUGAAAACAAUUAAUUUUUUUAAUAGUUCUGAAAAUACUUACAUGCAGUUUUACCUACAGUGACACUUGCUCUGUUAGUAAACAAACACAGAGAUUGAAAUUAGUAGAUAUAAAUAAUUUUGACUUGUAAACACAAUGGAAAAUUGCAGGUUUAGUGUGCAAAUUGAGACCUAUUCUUAAAUAUAGACUCUUUUAUUUUUCAAGAGGUGAAAAAGAAAGGUGGAAGAGCAUAAGAGAAAUUAUUUCUUUGGGUUGAAUAGAAACAGCAAUAAUUCAGACUUGCUAGAAAAAAUGAACACUUCCACAUCUCCAAGUUUUUUCUACAAAAGAAAAAUCCUUAAUUUGAGCAUGGGUUAAGGUUUCCAGCCUUUGGAGUAAACACUUUAGAAAGCACUGCAAUCUUCUUUUUCUUUUUUCAAUGUCAACUGAAACAAAGUCAGGAUUAGUGCUCAGUGGAUUUUCUGAAAUAAGCGAGUCUCAUACGUAAAUAAACUGCUUGGAUCCAGCUCUACUCAAAAUGGUUAUAAAUUUGCUUCAUGCACAAUGACUGCAACACAGUUCAGGCUCAGAUUUUGAAUAGCACAUUUCCCAUGUGUUAUUUAUUCCACUUGAAGCUAUCCAGAUUGAAUAAAUAGGCAUCAAUUUAUAUUCUGCAUGGUAAUUAAUACAAAGAUUUGAAUUAUCCUAAGAACCUGGGCCUUGAAAAGUCAGAAUUAAAUUGAACAUCCUGCCUGAAAUCUAGCAGUUAUGGAAUACCAUACAUUCCUUAAUAUACCAUAUUACAAAUACAAACACAAUUAACAACAAUACAGGUAAUUAACAAUAUCAAAACCCAGUAGCAAUAUAUUGAUACCCAAUAUAUUGAUUACCAAAUUUUUUUUGAAGACAUGUUAUUACUGUCUGUAAAACAAUACAAAACAGAAGAUUUCUCAUGGAAAUGUGGUUAAGGAAUUAUUGCCUGACUAUCUCUCAAGCAAACAUAUGGAUAACAACGGCACUAAUUUAAAAAACUCUUAAGCAGGUCCUGAAGCAUAAGCAUACUGCAUAAACCCUGGUUAGGCAAAACCCUAAGUUGUGUCUGUUUUCUUUCAUUACAUAUUUUUAUCCUGGAUGGAAACAAAGUCAACAUUCUCUCUAAGUUCUCCAAAUAAAACCCCCAGUAAUCAGGUGUUUCAAACUCAACAGAGGCAAUGAGAAAGAAUAAGGGUGUAGGGUUCUUGUAAGCAACCACAGUAGGAAAUUCACUUCUAUCAUUUCAAGCCCCGUAGCAAGCAUUUACAAACUUCUCACACAGUAAGCUAAGAUUCACAAAUCUGUAUCCCUUUAGUCUUAAGGGAACUUCUGAUGGCUCUGGUUCUGCAAUCAGCUGUUCUGCAAACAGCUGUUUGUUCACCUCAGUUUGUGAAGAAGGAAAAAGAUCAUUAUUAAUGUCAAUGUGAACUCUUUUUAUGUAUGGUAAAACCAACUAGUUACAAAAUAAAAAGUUGAAAAAAUAAAGAGGGAGAAAAGCCCUAAAAUAUAGUGUCUAGGUAAUGUUAUCCUUGUGGAAUCAGGCUAUAUGGUGGGAAUAGGCCUAUAAAUAUUAAUAAAGAUAAGUAAAACAAUAGAUAAUAUUAAAUAAAUGUAGUAUAAUGUCAACAAAUUGGAAAGAGUAGCCUGGAAAUAGCACACAAACUGUUUUAAAAAUCAAGGAGAAGUGAUCUAAAGCUUGGAGGCAAUGAAGCUGAAGAGAGGUUAAUCUGAUCAUGCAGCAAUCCUUACGACCUCUUUAUGUUGAUAGGAUCAUUCCUCUUAAGCGGAAUUAAAACUUAUGGAGGAAUAAAUAUGCUAAACUGUGCUGAGAUGAAAAUUAUUAUCAAAUUAUAUAUUGCUGAAAAUAGCUGUGAUGUGAAGGCUGCCCAUGAGACAGCACUUGCCAUCACUGCAUCACUGCCUGCUUCUGAAGGUGACGUGCUGAUUUUUAAUAACCUGCUUCUGCAGGGAUCUGUUGAUUUGCCCAGUGUUGCUUUUACUUCAGCAGUCUUCUUUCUCCUCCAGCAGUUAGCAGACCACCAUGAGGCACUUAUGUUUUACAUUUGCUUCAACUGAAAAUAAUGCUAAUGAAAUAUCAACCAGCUUCCAUUCAUCGCAGGUUUAAUUUUGGCAGACUGAAAUUAGUAACUGCUAUUAUAUUUUUUUUGUAUUACAGUUCAAACACAGACCUAGAUGUUGCAAGAAAAUAUUAAACAAAUAUGUCUAUCAUUUAACAUUUUGAAAGAAAUCCAACAAAUCCAGAAUUUCUGAUACAGACUGAGAACACAAUAUUUUGUGUAGUGUAUAUAAACACUGAAAUAAGGUUAAAAAGCUCAAUCAGCUUUCAUACUUUGAAACAUCUGGAAGUCAAAAGACAUUUUUACAGGGAUGGCAAAUGAACUGAAUAAAAGGGAAAACAUAUUUCAUGAAAAUGCUUGAGAAAUUACAUUUCUUUAAUUGCAAAGCAUUACUUGUAACAACAUUCACUUCAAGCUUUUACCUCAUUGCAAUUGUGUCUUCCUUUAGACACAAGUAAUCAAAUUGCCUCAGUAUAAUUUAAUUCUUUUGGAUGUAAUAAGCUUAAUGCUUUAUAUAGCAGUGCUAAACCUAACAGUGUACCGAGACCUGUAAAUGCGAAGAGCAAUUCGUCAUUGUAUAAACCAUCGUGCGCAAUCACCCCAGCUUAGACAAAGCCAUAAACUACUGCAGGAAAGAUUGCAGAGGUGGCAGCACCUGGCACAACACAAAACAGUUCAUGCAAGAGAAUUUUCCAGGCACUGGAAAUGUGUUUACAAAACCAGGAUGCUCUUUUUUCCAUUUUAUAGUACUCCACAUUAUAGCAGACUAUGCACUGCACUCUACAUACUAAAUGCUCAGAUGCAGUUUCAGAAAUAUUUUAAUUAAAAUGAGUUAUCAAUUACUUGAAAAUAAUUGCCUUCAAAUAUUUCUUUACCCUCUUUCCAGCUGUGAAAAUUUCUGAGUAAUAAUGUUUUCUGGGAGCAAGAUGGGGGAAGGAAGACACCUCAUAUCAUAGACUCUUUCUGUCAUAAUGCUGAAGGCUAUGUCUGUAGUUGAUAUGUGGCAUAAAAAAGAUAAAGCAUCAAUAGGUCUGAUUAUCUUUUUUUUUUAAACCUGGGGUGACUUCCGAUUAUAUAGACAAAUCUCCUAUGGAAAACCAGCCAACCUACUAUUUAAAAUAUAGAAAAAUAUUUUAUAUAAAAUGUAGUUUAAAAGUUGUGUUUAACCAUAAGAAUUAAUAUUUGAAUUGAUAUAAUAUGAUUAAAUUAGCUAUUUCUUUUGGAGUACAGCUAUUGUUAUUAAGAUACAUUCGUAAUAUCUUUUAUAUCCAAAUUUAUUUUCCUAAAAUGUUUUUCUAAAUUUCUUUAAAUUGAAAGUCUCCUCUCCUCGACUUCAAUAAAACAUCUAUUCUGGCAGACCUAUUUAAAAUAUCAAUUAAAAUAAACCUUGAUUCUUAUGCUAAGUGUAGACAUAGUAUUUGGAUUAUUAGAAACAAAAGUACAAUAUGUAUUCCAGUUCAGCCUCUGUGGUAUAUGCUGCUGACUUUUUUUAAGUUAAAAAAUGUCUUCAAAACCAAAAUAAAACAAACAAAAAAUCCUCAAACAAAGAAAAAAAAAGCUUGCUUUCUUUGUCCUACACAGGGAAAAUACCAGAGUUCUGAACACAUCUCAGUAUUUCAGGACUUGGUGCCAUGAUGUAUUAAUAUAAUUUUGUGUGUGUGUGUGUGAAUUAUUUUGCAGAAAUAUGAAAUUCAUUUGUAUGUUUCUUAUGGUUAUGCAACUUACUGAACUGACAUUUGAAAAAUACAUGUGGCUUGUACUGACUUCGGUUUUGGGGAAAACUUCUGGAUUCCCACAACUCCUAAAGGAAGGAACCUAUGGAAACCUUUUGAUUUGCCUAGGUGGUGUGACCAACUUUAGCCGCUUCUCAUCUCCAAACAAGAGACCAGUUGUCUUCCCUCUGUUGCUUUUGCAGCAAUUGGACACUAAAUUUAAUACAAAGGGGAAAUAUUAAUCUUCGAGGUUCUUCCAGGGAGAGAAGCAGAGAAAUGGAUCCCUCUUUGCAGUAUACACUUGGGGAGGUACUGAAUGAAAGCACGAACCAAAAUAUAGUCCUAAGAUCACUGUAAGGGUGCAAGGAUAAUGUCACACAUAAGGGUGCCAGCGCUCUUGACGAUUAAGGUAAAAGAAGCAAAGGCUUGCACCAUAAUGAAAGUUGCCUCUUCUUCUUCAGAGGCACUGUCCUACUUUAGUAGUCAUGAUACUACCUCUGUACGUCAUGUACAUAUACUUUCAUGUCAAACAAAUGCUUCUGGCUAUUCUAAGGCUUCAGUUUUCUUAGUUGUUUUACUCAGCAAAGAGUGAAUUUUUUUUUUUUUAAUAGGACUAUAAAUAGUCAUUCCUCUAUUCAACUUGACACAUAUGUUCAUUCUAUCAUUUUUGCCAAAAAAAAGGGAAACCAAACAAAGAUUUGGGGGAAAAAAUGGAAAGAGGAAGAAUAGUGAGGUAAAGUGUUUCCUGCACUUUGUCAGACUUCUUUAUUCUCAGAAUUUCUUCAUCUUUUUCACACAGAAUCUACACAGAAAUACACUGAGUGCUGACAAGUCCACUCAGUUCACAUUUAGUUCCCUUUUCCCUUUAAUAUAAUAAAAAUGGUAACAAGAAUAACAAAGAUGUUGCAGUCUACUAGCUUCACAAGAAAUUGAAGCAAUAUUUAAUCUAUAAAUAAUAAAAAUUUGACAGUGCACUUCUAAAUUGUAGCUGUAGUUUUUUUCUUAACUUUGAAAGGAUCUGUCCCAUUGCCUCACAAUUGGUUCCUAAAGGCCAGUUUUAAAUUUUUUUUUUUUUUUUUUUUUUUUUGGUGCAGCAAGAUUAAAAAAUCUAUUUAGAAAGAUGGGUAAAGAUGGAAAAUUAAGAUCCAAACCUGAGAUUCAAACAAUCUCUGGAUUUACACACAUUCAAAUCCAGACAGGAAAACAUCUGUAUGUCUACUGGCUCUGACCUAAAAACUCACAUCAAAAAACCUGGAGAUCUUUCUAACUUGUGAAUGAAAACGGUACCUCCAUUCAGGAAUACUGAUCAUAUACACACUGACCUCUGAGGAAAAAGAAGAAUCAUUGCAAAAAAACCAACUACACAUGGACUUACACUCCUAGGUGGGGAUGCAUUUCAAUACAUUUUCAGGACUUUCUCAGAUGAAAUGUCUCAGUGGAUAUGACAACUCGAUGAACACGUCAUUUAUCUUGUCUUUUAUGUCUGCUAACAUGUAAGAGAGAAAACAUAAUUUCUUUAGCCACCACCCAAGAAUAUUCUGUAUUUUCCUAAGAAACAAUACAAAUAAAUAGCAGGUAAAUUCUCUUAUUCACAUCUGUGUCUAAAACUGUUUGAUGUAGUUGACCUGCAGGGCUGGCAUGGAGAAGACUGAACACCUGUAAACAUCCUGUUAGCACUGAGGAAGCUAGACCCUAAAGCAGAACAGUCAGCAUACAAACUAAAAUAACUUUAUUUGAUAAUUUUAUUUAGAAACAUAAUGGGCUAUAGAUUAGAUUAUCCAACUUCUUUUUAAUGCAUUGCAUCAGAUAAAAAAUAAGAUAUCUAUGUUAACUCUAAAUAAUUCACACCAAGAAGAGUCUCCUGUAAAAUGAAUUGAAAUGCAGACAGGCAAAUGAACAACAGUCGUUUUUGGCAAGCUCUACCUUGAUGCUUAUUUUAGGGAUUAUUCAAUGAUUUACCCAACACAGGUGUGUAUGUAUGUUACCUGUGGAAUUUCUCUAUGGGCUUUUCAUUAAAUGAAUAUUGUCAAAUAUUAUAUUCUAGCCUGUGCUCCAUCCUUGUGUGUAGUUCCUGUGACUGGAACAACAGGAGGGAUGGCCAGCUCCCCAGCAUCUUGCUCUAAUCAUCACUUCACAAGAGGAAGCAGCUCCCCUGCAAAUCAGAAGUAUUCACUCCUCAGGUGCUUUCCCACAAAAUCCUUCCGAUGGGAGGUUUAAAAUAAGCCCUUAAAGGGAUCAGAUUGUGCUCCUGCAGAGUAGUUGCUUUUAUGUUCUCUGCUUUUUCUGAGAAAAGGAUCAGCAAAACAUCUGCUGUAGGAUAUGAAGAAGUUGGAAAAAAGAGGCUUUUAAGACCUAAAUUAGAAUAAGGGAGACGAAUCCAAGAAAACUGAUAAGCAGGUUUAAUAAUUUUUAAACUAGGAAAGAUACUUCCAUCAUAUCUACCACUAUUACAUACAAAAAUAUAAUAAAUUAUAGUUUACUGCAAAGAAGACAGUAAAAAUUCUAGCAUUUACAUUUGUUUGAGAAACCUUAAAUCUUCCUUUGUAUGUAAAUCUUGAGAGAUCAGAAUAAGCAUAAAGAUCAUGCCAUGAUCAUGAUCAUGUAAUUGAAGGCAGUGUCAUAAUAGAUAUAUACAAAUGUAGAAAAACAUUAUUGGUAUCUUUUUUUGCACUAUAGAGUUUUUCCUUUAGGCUCAGUAAUGUGUAGCAUUUUACACUAAGCAGUCCUAUCUUCAUAUUUUUCAGUUCUAUGACUUAUAAUGUGUAGGAGAGUCCUCAAGAUGUCACCUGUAAGACACCUUAGCUAUGGAGAAUAUUUGAAACUGUGCCAUAAUUUUAUACAUUUUUCAUCAUCUGAGAUGAUAAAAAGGGCCUGAUGCAGUAGCCAAGAAAGUAAUUUCUAUGAACUAUACCUACAGUAUCAUACAGGUUUAAUAAUUUCUGAGAAAAAUAUAAUAAAAGAACAUUACUUAAGAUGUAAAAGAAGCUGUUGAAAUGUAGGUCUCAAAGAUUAUGAAAGCCACACAUGAGCUCUGCGGCAAGUUCUGCUUCCACAAUUACCUACUGCUACUAAGGUUUGGUUGCUCAGCCUUAGACAUUCCAGGAAAAAUACAUGAGAAAGGGACUGAGAAAGGGAUUGAGAAUUUUUUUAAAGUUUUGUGACAGUAGUCACUGAUGCCUGGACUGUUUCCAGUAACAACUGCCUUGAGGUAACAGCACAAUCAACAGCUAUGAAGUCCAAAAAUUAGAAAUUUGUUUGGCAUAGAAAUCAGUAAUUUUGAGGACAGGAGCCAACUGAAGAGCACUUCAUGCAUCUGGCAUCUGGUGAGUAGCUGCUCUGUACAGCAUGGAAGGAUAUUGUAGGAAAAAAUUUGAAACAAACUGCAAACAAGUAGCUUAAAACAAGCCUUCUGGGGACUGAGAAAGAUUCUGUGUUGAUAACAAUAUGGAAAGGAUAAAAUAUGAGGCUUCUGGGAAAAGGGUGAACCACAAAAUAAGCAUGACUUGUAAUAUGACUGAAUAUAACCCUAAGUAUCACUUUCCAAAACCUUAGUUUCCAGAAGGCUAAAAACACAUGUCUCUUGAAAUUGAAAACAACUGAGAUUAUUAAUAUAUAAUUAAUUACAUUAAAAAUAAAAUAAAUGUUCUUAUUAAUUUUCUAGAAAUACUAAUAUUAUUGUCAGUUAUUAAAACAGACCACUUUCAGUGGGAGUGAGAAACUUGGAACUAGGAUCUAAAAUAACAAAGGUGCUCUGAAUAAUGAUUUAAUGCAGGGUUUUGUCUAGUGUUAGAUGAAAGAAGGUUGUGAAUAAACUAAUAUUCUCUAAGCCCUAAUGGGAUUAAAGCAGUAACAUGAUGCAAUUUGAUAUUUCCAAUAAGAAGCUGAAAACAUUUGGCUUUAACUGUCAUAAUAUAAUCACUCUUUUCUAAGCACUUUUAAUUUUGAUGAGCUAUCCAAUAUAACAUUAUGUGGAUCUGUUUAAAGGCAGUUAUGUUUGAUUAUUUUUCUUUAUUUGUUUAUUAUGUUCCUACUGAUACUUUAAAUAAAAGGCUGUCUGCAAUUCUAAGGUGAACAGAUUCAAAAGCUGUAAUUAAACAAACUCUAGGUAUGAGCAACUCUAAAUAUAUACAAAUACAAGAAAAGUCUUGAGCCAAAUCUGAGCAUGAUGAGUAAAUUAUUCUAAGAACUAUUGCUUAAGUAUUAUCAGCAAUGCCAGGAGCAAAUUGUAAAUUGAAAACAUGACUUUAUAUUUUCCCAGCUGCAGGCAACAAAAAUUUGCACAGCCUGACUUGCUUGUAAUUGUGCACUCUUACAUCUCUGUUAGGGAACCUUUGACCUCAGGCAAGUGACUAGGUCCACAAUUCCCUCUUGUAAGUCCUGUGGCCACACUGGGUUUGGAUUGCUCCUGCCACCACACUCUAAGAGGUGAGUCUGCAUGGCACCUUUGUCCUUUAGCAGGGGCAAGUUGUCUACCCUCUCAUUCCAUAUCUUUCAUCAGCUUAGCCUCUGAUUUUAGUGUUAGUCUCUUAACCCUAUGAUCACAAAUUUUCUUAAGUUUAUCAUGAAAAUGUCUGCUUCACUCAUCCAUCUGCUCUGAGCAUUAGCACAUCAACAUUGCCCUCCAUGUCUGCACUGGGUAGGUGCUUAUGCUCAUCGCAGAAAUCCACCCAUCAACCAAAAAGAGAAGCUGUUAUUUCUAUUUUGUCAGAUCACAAGUCAGUGGCUUCACAGAUACAAGAAACAAAAAAACAAAAAAACCAAACCAAACCAAACCAAACAAAAAAAAAACCCCAACAAAAACAAACAAACAAAAAAAAAAAAACCCAAAAAAAAAAACAAAGCAGAAUGACAAUGUGGGAGACAGUUUCGCUCAGUCAUUCCCCAAAUCCACAGCUUCUGUACAGGUUGAAGGAACUCAAAGGUCUCUCUGAAGUGCAAAACAUUUUCUAGUGGCAAAGAAAUAAGGAAUUUUGCCUUGGGACAUUACAGUAUAAAGGACCAGGUCAAAAGAUUCAGAGAGCAGAGCUUUUUGCUUCUUUCAAGUUGUCAGGUUUAGUUUGUGCUAAAAGGCACCGUGGUCCCUGGUGAAAGGUAAGAAGCUGUUUAGACCUCACAGAGAAAAGAAACUACCAUUCAGUGGGGUUCAUGAGACAUUUCCUGCAGUCAGAAUCCUUCAUAGUCCAGAGACCUUGUUUACCUGCCCUAACUCCCAGGGAAGCUCUUUGUGCUGGGGACUCCACUGGUUUCCUGAGGGGGAAAGUCAGACCUCUCCCUUCAUGUGCCAGAAGUCUACCUAAGUGUUGAGGGAAUUCUUCCUUCAUCUCUCCAAUUACACCCUGUUUUACCAGACUUGAUAAAUAAGAGCAGCAUUUAUUUCUAAAGUUGCCUUCUUUAAAACAAUUGCCCUCCUUCUUUGGGGGAAAAGGUGGUUAUUAUUGUUACUCUAAAAUUUAUACUUGAGUGGAUGUAUAGUGAGCAGAAAUUGUUAAUCUUUUAAGGCAAAUUUGCAUUCAGUGUCACCAUGCUGACACUGAUAUUGCAGCAAAGCACUUUUGUUUUGGUGUUGAUAUUUCAAUUUGACAUUCUUAGGCUCUAAAACAUCUCUACAAGGGUGGCUGACCACCAUCCCUCCUUUCCUUUUUAUACACCCCUACCACUGCACAGUGUGAAUUUGGCUGGAUAUAUUUCAGACCAAAAUGUCUAGUAAUGCCUUAAGUGUUGCUCUUGUGUUCUGCUCAUCCCUCAAAUCUAGACAAGGGUUGUUCCCUUACCGUUUUUUGUCAGAGUUAAACACUCAGGUACAUCAGCACAGAAGUGAAGAUUUCUGCCAUUACUUGACAUUUAUACCACAGAGAUAUUAAACCACUUGAUAGACAAGACCUUUCUAUAUUUGCUAAUCAGAUAAAAUGACGGAAAUCCAACCACAACUGAAGAGUCAUGUUUUUAUUUCAAUACCAGGUAUUCACUGAUACAACCAAAGAGUGAAAUACAGAUCUGAAACUACAUCGUUUCUGAAGGUGACAAAAUCUUCAGUGUAAUUUCUCCUCCCACUAUAUUUUUUCUGGACUCCUCUGUUUAAGAGGUUUUUUUCUCCACACAGAGACACUAAUGAAUCAUUUUCCUUCCCAAAUAGCCCCAUAUCUA